rnacentral:rRNA from 1 species
AUACAUGCAGUCGAGCGAACGGACGAGAAGCUUGCUUCUCUGAUGUUAGCGGCGGACGGGUGAGUAACACGUGGAUAACCUACCUAUAAGACUGGGAUAACUUCGGGAAACCGGAGCUAAUACCGGAUAAUAUUUUGAACCGCAUGGUUCAAAAGUGAAAGACGGUCUUGCUGUCACUUAUAGAUGGAUCCGCGCUGCAUUAGCUAGUUGGUAAGGUAACGGCUUACCAAGGCAACGAUGCAUAGCCGACCUGAGAGGGUGAUCGGCCACACUGGAACUGAGACACGGUCCAGACUCCUACGGGAGGCAGCAGUAGGGAAUCUUCCGCAAUGGGCGAAAGCCUGACGGAGCAACGCCGCGUGAGUGAUGAAGGUCUUCGGAUCGUAAAACUCUGUUAUUAGGGAAGAACAUAUGUGUAAGUAACUGUGCACAUCUUGACGGUACCUAAUCAGAAAGCCACGGCUAACUACGUGCCAGCAGCCGCGGUAAUACGUAGGUGGCAAGCGUUAUCCGGAAUUAUUGGGCGUAAAGCGCGCGUAGGCGGUUUUUUAAGUCUGAUGUGAAAGCCCACGGCUCAACCGUGGAGGGUCAUUGGAAACUGGAAAACUUGAGUGCAGAAGAGGAAAGUGGAAUUCCAUGUGUAGCGGUGAAAUGCGCAGAGAUAUGGAGGAACACCAGUGGCGAAGGCGACUUUCUGGUCUGUAACUGACGCUGAUGUGCGAAAGCGUGGGGAUCAAACAGGAUUAGAUACCCUGGUAGUCCACGCCGUAAACGAUGAGUGCUAAGUGUUAGGGGGUUUCCGCCCCUUAGUGCUGCAGCUAACGCAUUAAGCACUCCGCCUGGGGAGUACGACCGCAAGGUUGAAACUCAAAGGAAUUGACGGGGACCCGCACAAGCGGUGGAGCAUGUGGUUUAAUUCGAAGCAACGCGAAGAACCUUACCAAAUCUUGACAUCCUUUGACAACUCUAGAGAUAGAGCUUUCCCCUUCGGGGGACAAAGUGACAGGUGGUGCAUGGUUGUCGUCAGCUCGUGUCGUGAGAUGUUGGGUUAAGUCCCGCAACGAGCGCAACCCUUAAGCUUAGUUGCCAUCAUUAAGUUGGGCACUCUAAGUUGACUGCCGGUGACAAACCGGAGGAAGGUGGGGAUGACGUCAAAUCAUCAUGCCCCUUAUGAUUUGGGCUACACACGUGCUACAAUGGACAAUACAAAGGGCAGCGAAACCGCGAGGUCAAGCAAAUCCCAUAAAGUUGUUCUCAGUUCGGAUUGUAGUCUGCAACUCGACUACAUGAAGCUGGAAUCGCUAGUAAUCGUAGAUCAGCAUGCUACGGUGAAUACGUUCCCGGGUCUUGUACACACCGCCCGUCACACCACGAGAGUUUGUAACACCCGAAGCCGGUGGAGUAACCUUUUAGGAGCUAGCCGUCG